UGCUAUAGCGCUUGCUAGCGCCGCGGCGUGCUAGCCGGCUAUCGGUGCCAGUGUGAGAGCGCUCCUCUCAGCUCUCACGCUCCACUUCCCCGUUAGCCGCGGAGCGCUAAUCACACCUCCAUGCUGGACCCAAACGCUCAUGCCACGGUGGAGGACAAGGAAGUGCCGCGGCAUGUGUGGCAAGGUCCACAUUGUCAAGAGAGACGAGGCCACCGGUCCGUAGAGGUACUCACACCCGAAACGGUCCCGCCAAGGCAAAGAGGGAAAAAUCAGCUGUGGAGCGAUGAGGGGGAUGAUGCAACGGGGAUGCGAGCGGCGCUGGCAAAGUGUGUUAUUAAAGGGAGGGAACGGAAGGAGUGUCUCAUACAGGCAUCUUCAGUCAAUAGGAUGAUUCACGUAAGUGAGUUGCAGCGGAAAUAAUGACCAAACUUAUCUGUGAAAUCUGAACUUUUUUUUUAUAACUGCUGCUAUUUCUAAUCAAAAUGGCAAUGGAAAUGUAUUUAGUAUCUCCGUGAAAGCAAUCUUGAAUACAGAAUGAUUGCAUGAUUUUCAAUCUGUGGUUAUUGACAAUAUUCUGUAAACUGCAAGCUGGGUUUCGCUGAAGCAUACUAUAUGUUGACUAUAAAAUGGUAUGCAAAGCCUUGGUUUGCAGUGCUAUGCAUGCAGAACAGAAUUGUAUUUGGGAGACGAAAUGUGUUUACAAGUGACAAGU